rnacentral:lncRNA from 1 species
CCUUUUAAUAUUCCUCUGAUAUACAAAUCUUCUGAAAACUUUAAUAUUAGCAAGGUUUAUAACCGACUUAAUCUAAGAAUUGAGACUCUUUUCAGGUAUUUUUAUAAUACUACAGUAGCAAUUAUUGCCAAUUAACACACAGUACAUUGUAAUUGUUUUUGUUCUUGAAAAUUGCCCUUUCCACGCGCUCUUUCAACCAUUAGAAACAUAAUAGCGUUAAACGGCUAAAUUAUGCUGGAGAAACCACAAAUGUCUCUACAUUUAAAGCUUUUUCAAACUGACACAGUGGCCGGAAUGGACAAGAUUACAAUUAAUUGUAGAAUUGUGACAUUUUUCUUCGACAACAGCACUCUUCGCGGCUCCUGCCGGCUCUAUACUGACCCUGUUUCACACGCAAUAUUUUCCUUAUUCAGUCACUAACACACCUUUUGUAUCCCACUAUGAAGAACAUCAACAUUUCCACCAAAAUCCCGAAAAAAUAAUCAUUUUAUAGACGAAACAAUAAAAUAUUUCAAACAAUUUGUUUUGCUUGUGCCAACGCAUGCGCAGUUCGGUC